rnacentral:rRNA from 1 species
GACGAACGCUGGCGGCGUGCCUAAUACAUGCAAGUUGAGCGCUGAAGGUUGGUACUUGUACCAACUGGAUGAGCAGCGAACGGGUGAGUAACGCGUGGGGAAUCUGCCUUUGAGCGGGGGACAACAUUUGGAAACGAAUGCUAAUACCGCAUAAAAACUUUAAACACAAGUUUUAAGUUUGAAAGAUGCAAUUGCAUCACUCAAAGAUGAUCCCGCGUUGUAUUAGCUAGUUGGUGAGGUAAAGGCUCACCAAGGCGAUGAUACAUAGCCGACCUGAGAGGGUGAUCGGCCACAUUGGGACUGAGACACGGCCCAAACUCCUACGGGAGGCAGCAGUAGGGAAUCUUCGGCAAUGGACGAAAGUCUGACCGAGCAACGCCGCGUGAGUGAAGAAGGUUUUGGAUCGUAAAACUCUGUUGGUAGAGAAGAACGUUGGUGAGAGUGGAAAGCUCAUCAAGUGACGGUAACUACCCAGAAAGGGACGGCUAACUACGUG